rnacentral:rRNA from 1 species
UAAACUGAAGAGUUUGAUCAUGGCUCAGAUUGAACGCUGGCGGCAGGCCUAACACAUGCAAGUCGAGCGAGAAAUUUCCUUCGGGAAUGAGUAAAGCGGCGGACGGGUGAGUAACGCGUAGGAAUCUACCUAGUAGUGGGGGACAACAUGUGGAAACGCAUGCUAAUACCGCAUAAGCCCUAAGGGGGAAAGCAGGGGAUCUUCGGACCUUGCGCUAUUGGAUGAGCCUGCGUCGGAUUAGCUAGUUGGUGGGGUAAUGGCCUACCAAGGCAACGAUCCGUAGCUGGUCUGAGAGGAUGAUCAGCCACACUGGGACUGAGACACGGCCCAGACUCCUACGGGAGGCAGCAGUGGGGAAUAUUGGACAAUGGGGGCAACCCUGAUCCAGCCAUGCCGCGUGUGUGAAGAAGGCUAUUUUGGUCGUAAAGCUCUUUCGUCGAGGAAGAUAAUGACGGUACUCGAAGAAGAAGUCCCGGCUAACUCCGUGCCAGCAGCCGCGGUA